rnacentral:rRNA from 1 species
ACGGAGGGGGUUAGCGUUGUUCGGAAUUACUGGGCGUAAAGCGUACGUAGGCGGACCAUUAAGUAAGGGGUGAAAUCCCAGGGCUCAACCCUGGAACUGCCUCUUAAACUGCUGGUCUUGAGUUCGAGAGAGGUGAGUGGAAUUCCGAGUGUAGAGGUGAAAUUCGUAGAUAUUCGGAGGAACACCAGUGGCGAAGGCGGCUCACUGGCUCGAUACUGACGCUGAGGUACGAAAGUGUGGGGAGCAAACAGG